AUGACAACUGCCCCCUGCGGCCAGGCGUUGGUGCUUUCUUGGGGACCCCGGGAGUGGCAGAGGCAGGGCGCGGCCCUGUGCUGCGAUCACCUCCCCCGCAUCUGAAUGGCUGAGGCCUGGCCUCUGGGGCUGUGGGGAAGCAGUGGGGACAGGCCCCGCUGAGAGGAAGCCUGUGCGGGUGGGGCAUUCGCUGCGGGGUCCUCAGUCACUGUCUCCUCUGUUCCCUGAUGCGGGAAGGACACCUAGGGCUCUGAAGUGUGGAAGAGAGCGCUGGACUGGCUGAAGACUGGAACUAGAGAGAAGAAGGAGUCGUAUAUGGAAACAAACAAGUUCCUUCCUUAACCUCCAACUUCCUCAAAGAGAGCCAAUAAUAGCAGCAGGAAAGGGUCUCCAUCCUUGCUUUCUGAUUUAUAGAAUGGGGUCAGGCUCUUACCCUAUUCUGUGUGACUCAGGCAAUUAGAAAUACAACACCUGGCUCCUCAGCAUGGACAUUCUUACCAGGCUAUGACCAAGACAUCAGGGCCGCUAAAUCCUCAAACCCAUCUAUUGCACAGAAGAAUUUUAAAACCAGAUCCAAAUCAAACUCCAGUUGCAACGUAGUGACAAUAAGGAUGGACAUGCCAGGAAAGGACAAUAAAGAAGAUGCUUCCAUUCUCUGCAGGCUUCUGGAAGAAAGUACAAUGACAGAAACAUUCACAGGACCUCAGCAGCCCCUCCAUUUCCUAUUACCAACCCCCAGCCCCCCACCCCGCCCCAAUACUGAAACUGCACAGAAAGCAACAAACAAGUCUUUUCAAUGUUACAUUUCAUUCAAUUCAAAUAGAUCUGUAAUCUCACAGUGAUGAGAGGAAAGAGUCAGGCCUUUAAUAAUUAUAAUAAAAAAAAUAAAAAAAGCUUACAAACAGCAAUGCAACAUUUCCUCCCCCUCAGAGUGAUGGAUUAACAGCUGGUAGAGGAUGCAAUGACUCAGAAUUAAAAAAUAAAAAUGAAACCAAAAAACAAGCCAACUCCAGGAACGACCCACACUGUCAAAGACUUUCCAUACAUAAUUGGAACAAGCAGUCAAAUGUCAACCACUUGUGGAGAACACCAAGGACUUCCUUGGUUUUGGAUGGCGUUUUUGUUUUUGAAGGUAAAAUAAAAUAAGACACAAAUAAAA